GACGGAAGGUGCAAGCGUUGCUCGGAAUCACUGGGCGUAAAGGGCGCGUAGGCGGCCGAUCAAGUCAGGGGUGAAAGCCUGUGGCUCAACCACAGAAUUGCCUUUGAUACUGUUCGGCUCGAGACCGGAAGAGGUAAGUGGAACUGCGAGUGUAGAGGUGAAAUUCGUAGAUAUUCGCAAGAACACCAGUGGCGAAGGCGGCUUACUGGUCCGGUUCUGACGCUGAGGCGCGAAAGCGUGGGGAGCAAACAGG
rnacentral:rRNA from 1 species